AUUUCUUUUGCUACACGAUCGGUGCUUGAGAUGUCACAUGCCCAACAAGUCUUUUCAGUGAGGGAAUUUCUGGUGGAACGGUGAAAUGCGUAGAGAUUGGAAAGAACACCAACGGCGAAAGCACUUUGCUGGGCCGACACUGACACCGAGAGACGAAAGCUAGGGGAGCGAAUGAGAUUAGAUACCCCAGAAGCGUAGAUCCGGAGAUUCCCGAUAUAGGUCAACCUUUCGAACUGGUGCUGAAUCCACGGGCAGGCAAGAGACAACCCGGUGAACUGAAACAUCUUAGUAGCUAGAGGAAAAGAAAGCAAAAGUGAUUCCCGUAGUAGCGGCGAGCGAAAUGGGAGCAGCCUAAACCGUGAAAACGGGGUUGUGGGAGAGCUAUAUAAGAAAGGCUUAUGGUGGAUACCUAGGCACCCAGAGAUGAGGAAGGGCGUAGUAAGCGACGAAAUGCUUUGGGGAGUUGAAAAUAAGCGUAGAUUCGGGGAUUCCCGAUAUAGGUAAACCUUUCGAAUUGCUGUUGAAUCCUCGGGUAGGCAAGAGACAAACUGGUGAACUGAAACAUCUUAGUAGCCAGAGGAAAAGAAAGCAAAAGCAAUUCCCGUAGUAGUGGCGAGCGAAAUGGGAGUAGCCUAAACCGUGAAAACGGGUCCUAGCCGUAAACGAUGGAUACUAGGCACUGUGCGUAUCGACCCGUGCAAUGUUGUAGCUAACGCGUUAAGUAUCCCGCC
rnacentral:ncRNA from 1 species